GGCUAAGGCUCAGGACUGUGACUCAGAAGACCUGAGGUGUAUUUUUUUUUCAGCUCUACCAUGAGAUUCUUGUUAGACCUUAGGCCAGUCUCCUAUUCUGUGUGUCUCAGUUUCUCAUCCACGAAGUGGAAAUGAUCAUGCUUAGCUACUUCAGACGCUGAAUUCCUUGGAUGAGCAUUCUAUGAAAAGAACCUGUGCUAUGAAGAAGAAGGGGAGUGAUGGAGCAUUCACAACAGGCCUUCCUCCUGAUAAAAAGAAAAUAUUCUGAAGCCGUUUUAGUGACACAGCAGCCUAAGUUCCAUUGACCGCCUCAGUGACUUUUGAAAAUGGAACUUAGAUGUCUUCAUUAUGUGAAAGCUACAGGGUGCCUACAAUACUUUAAAAAUUACAAACCAACACAAAAGAGGGAGCUCUCUCUUAUACUGUUCCUGAGCCUGUAUCUUUAUGCACUGGUGCUACUACAUGCAACAGAGGUGUACAUUGUACAAUGGAAAGUGGGAAUGGUCACCUCAAGCCCUACAAGGUGAAAGGGCCAACUGGCAAAAGGAAAAGACACCGGAACACCAACAUUAAUGAAAUGGAAAGAAGGGGGAAGACUGCAAAGACUCUCCUAUCUGGCGGAAGGGACAGCCACUAACGACCCAAUAAUCAUGACCUACUUUAAAUAUUUUGAGUGUAUUUCAGAUGCUUUUCAUCACUUUUAAUAUUAUUUAAUAUUAUUUGCAUUACCAAAGUACCAGAUGCCCCAAUCACAAUAGGGAACUCAUUGUUCCUAACAUUCCCCACCUCUCCCCUGCUAAACAAACAACGUCUGAUCAAAAGUUACGUUAAUGGAAAAGGGGUUAAGGGUGGUGGUGUUGUUUUUAAUUAAUUUUAAUUAAAAUUUUCACAAGUGCCCCACCAUGCAUCUUU
rnacentral:lncRNA from 1 species